rnacentral:rRNA from 1 species
ACAUCGCCUCUUGAACGAAAUAAUAUAAGAGGUCCCGCCUGCCCUGUGACUCUGUGAGUUUAACGGCUGCGGUAUUUUGACCGUGCAAAGGUAGCGCAAUCACUUGUCUUUUAAAUAAAGACCUGUAUGAAUGGCAUGACGAGGGCUUAACUGUCUCCUUUUCCCAGUCAAUGAAAUUGAUCUCCCCGUGAAGAAGCGGGGAUACAACUAUAAGACGAGAAGACCCUGUGGAGCUUUAAACGCAAGAAGGGGUCAUGUCAAGCACUUCCCUCCGCAAGGAGGGACGAAACAAAAUGAACACCCUUCUGAUGUUUUUGGUUGGGGCGACCGCGGGGAAAUAAAAAACCCCCACGUGGAACGGGAGUACCCCUCCUACAACUAAGAGCUACAACUCUAACUAACGGAACAUCCGACCAACAAUGAUCCGGCCAAGCCGAUCAACGGACCGAGUUACCCCAGGGAUAACAGCGCAAUCCCCUUUUAGAGACCUUAUCGCCAAGGGGGUUUACGACCUCGAUGUUGGAUCAGGACAUCCUAAUGGUGCAACCGCUAUUAAGGGUUCGUUUGUUCAACGAUUAAAGUC